GAAAUGAUAACCCAUUUAUAAAUUCAUCCCAAUACAGGGAGCUAGCGAAAAUGGUCAUCAUCUCAGUUCGAGCAAGUAUCGUUGGCCGCUCGCCGGAACUAGUUCGAUCUUUGACAGUGUAUAUCUUCAAAUAACCCUCUAAACAAAUUUUAAUUUACGUAUCGAUCUCAAAUUUUUCUCCGCGCUCCUUUCUGCUUGUUCUCUCCGUCUCUCUUGUCCUCCUUUAAAUCCUAACCCUAACCCUCGGCGGACGUACACUAGGAGCCCAAAUCCGAUUCAUUGAGGAUCUCAUUAGCGAUAUCGAAGUGGAGCAAUCUCGAGAUUCUCGGAGGGAUCGAGCAUUUGGGGCGUCAUGCCUCAAAGUAUUAAUCUCCUUUCAGAGCUCUUGUUCUUCUCAAUGUCUUAAUUCUUGGGUACAUUCGAAGGGUCGGAGAUUUUUUGUCAAUAACAACUGAAAGCCACUGGCAGAAACAGAAGAAAAGGCUAAAAAAGGCUUUCCAUUUGUUGGAGGGUAAAAGAUAAACAAUGUGCAAUUGAAAGUCUGCAUAGAUCCUAAAAUUAGCUCUCUCAGAUGCUUUCUUUGCUGAGGUUAUGCCAAUGACACUGUGGAGGUCCAGUGAAAGCCCUUUGUCCGAGGAUUAAGUUCACAGCUUGUGUUGGGUGGAAAGCAUCCCAGAAGAUAUGUUGGCUCCUGUUGAGGCAAGGAACAGAAAAUGGAAGGCAGGUGAUCUGCCCCUGGAACCUUCCCAGCCCACAGCAACCCCUUUCAACGACCGUGAAACCUACCUCCAGCAAAACUCAGACAUCUUGAUCAGACCAUUAAUAAGCUUAUGACUUACCAUAAGUGCUUGGGUUGUUGAGGAUGUCUCCAAGAGCACCAUAUGUGUUGCCAUAUACAAAAAUUGCCCCUGGGUGAUUGGUGUUCAGCUGUUGGACCAGUGAUCUCAGCCCCCCAUUGAAGAGACUAACCAUCUGAUUUACCUGAUCAAUGCAUUGGUCAGCUGGGGCGAACCCGGAGGCCCGUUGGUUGGGGAUGCAUCCUAGGGGCCCUACCCCUGACAGGACAAACUUCCUUAGACCUACACUGUAUAGUGCCUGCAACAAAGAACAGCUUGGGAGACAAUUGAAGACAUCCUACUAUAAUGCAGGUAUGCCUUGAAAGAGUUAGGCGACAUGUUUGCUACAAUGUUUUAAAGCACCAGUCUUCAAGAUGUUCCACAGAUAUUUAAUUUCUGUGGACAUUUGUUUAUCCUAUCAGUUUUGAAGCAUGUAGUUUAUACCUAAUUUUAUCUAUUGUAACUUGGAACCGGCCCUAUGAUCAAAUUGUUAGUCCAUAAAACAUUGCCAUCUGAAAUGACAUGCAUUCUGUUGCAUGACUAAUAAAUAGCUGGAUCAUGUUGUUUUUCGAUA